rnacentral:rRNA from 1 species
CAAAACCAUAACGACUCUCGGCAACGGAUAUCUCGGCUCUCGCAUCGAUGAAGAACGUAGCGAAAUGCGAUACUUGGUGUGAAUUGCAGAAUCCCGCGAAUCAUCGAGUCUAUGAACGCAAGUUGCGCCCGAAGCCAUCUGGUCGAGGGCACGUCUGCCUGGGUGUCACGCAUCGUUGCCCCCAACCCCAUCGCCUCUCCAAGAGACGAGGGCGGUCUGCGGGGCGGACAUUGGCCUCCCGUGAGCUUUCGCUCGCGGCUGGCCUAAAAGCGAGUCCUCGGCGACGAGCGCCACGACAAUCGGUGGUUGACAAACCCUCGUGUCCCGUCGUGCGCGGCUCGUCGCUCGUCUUGUGCUCUGUGACCCUGUAGCGUCGCGCUCGCGACUCUUCCAACGCGACCCCAGGUCAGGCGGGACUACCCGCUGAA